UACGUAGGGUGCGAGCGUUGUCCGGAAUUAUUGGGCGUAAAGGGCGCGUAGGCGGUCACGCACGUCCGUUGUGAAAUCGCUCGGCUCAACUGGGCGGGGUCAGCGGAUACGGCGUGGCUGGAGCAAGCUAGGGGGCAAUGGAAUUCCCGGUGUAGUGGUGGAAUGCGUAGAUAUCUGGAGGAACACCGGUGGCGAAAGCGGCUCACUGGAUCGAUACUGACGCUGAGGUGCGAAAGCUAGGGUAGCAAACGGG
rnacentral:rRNA from 1 species